GGGGCGAAACGAAGAGGAGGACAAAGGCAGAUUCUUGGGUUUCAGAAAUUCCUCUGUGCACCAAAAGGGAAAGCCAUCAGCACAAUCCACAGGCUGGGAGGUUCCUGGAAUUUUAAAUGUGUUGAGCCAACUGCACAGGGAGACUUUAUCUGUCUACAGAUUUCCUGAUGGCUGAUGGUGUUGAUGUGUCAGAAUCUGGAUUCACUAGAAGAAGAGCCUCCAGACACACCUGUAUACAAAAGGAAAAUUCUAACUGACCAUCCCGGCCACCAUUGCCCCUCUUUCCUAACUGUUGAUGGUCCUAAAUAGAAGGUCUACAUGAAGGUCGAUACCAAACCAUGGUCUUUGUACCCUUUGGAGACUGGAGGACUUAAUUCUAAAAAAGGUAAUGGACCUGGAAGUCUUUUGUGCCCUUUGUGGGGGUUGAUUUUGUUAAUGUCAGGAAUAAAAGGGAAAGAGUGUUUACUUGCUUGCUAAUUUCCUAAGAAUGCUCUCUUUUGCACAAGGCUGAUGUCGCUGUUGUUUCCAGAUGCCCAGACCCAGUUAGAAACAGCAUUGCUUUGCUUUCUUAACUAGAAAAACAAACAAACAAACAAAACCCCUCAAUGUCUGGGGUGUCACAGAGACAUGAAAAUCACUGAAUGAGCAAUGUCAGCCUUUGUUUUAAAAUGCCACAACAUUGCAUCUAAAGAGAAAUGGUGAUUCCAAAUUACCAACCAACUCUGCAACUUCUUUACCUGACUUCAGAAACACCAGCUGAAAUCUCUAAAACAUGCUGCGUACCAGAGGUUGAAUGAAGGUCAGCCACUAUUGCUAAAGACACUGCACACUCUGAAAAAUGGAACUCUCCAUUCAAGCUGGAUCUAACCUCGAAACCUCCCUCUGUGGUCUAGCUUCCACAGUACCAGAAAGUACUAUUAGUAGAUUUUGUUCCUAGGAGUGAAAACCCACCGUCAUUUAAGAAAAUGAGGAGGUUUGCCUUUGUACAUGGCUGGCACUGGGCCUCUGGGAUGAUGGUGCAGCUCAUUCUUCCUCAGUAAUAAUGGUAAGAAUGGCAUGGUUCUGAAGGUCAGAACACUGGAUGCCAACAGUACAUCACUUCUACAAUAAAAUUAACCAAAGUUCUGACCCAGUGUGGAUCUCUAGUCCCUUAUCCCAUACAACGACCUAUUGACACUGAUCAAAACCCAAAGUAUAUUCAAUCCAGUAUUAACCUGUUACAGUUCACUACGCACGAGCGCACACACACGCACACAUGCGCGUGCACACA